UCCCAACACUCGGGAGGCAGAGGCAGGUGG
rnacentral:piRNA from 1 species